GGCCUGGGGGGCGGGGGCGGGGGCGGGGCGAGGCCGCCGCGGUCCGGACCCCAGACGUGGGCUCCGGGCUCUGCACCCAGCUCCUGCCCGGGCGCGCACACGCGCUUCCUCUCUUGAACUCCCGGGCGUCCGGCGGCUAAGGUCCCGGAGCGUUCACGAGAAUCCGGGUCCCAGCGAGUCCAGGGUCCGCUCCUCCAGCUGCGCCCCGGACGCACGAGCCGGCCAGCCUCGGGGAGAGGGCGCGGGGGCGCUGGGGGUUCUUACGGAAGAUGAGGAAGCCCGACAGCAAGAUCGUGCUGCUGGGGGACAUGAACGUGGGGAAGACGUCGCUGCUGCAGCGGUAUAUGGAGCGGCGCUUCCCGGACACGGUCAGCACGGUGGGCGGCGCCUUCUACCUGAAGCAGUGGCGCUCCUACAACAUCUCCAUCUGGGACACCGCAGGGCGGGAGCAGUUCCACGGCCUGGGCUCCAUGUACUGCCGGGGGGCGGCUGCCAUCAUCCUCACCUAUGAUGUGAAUCACCGGCAGAGCCUGGUGGAGCUGGAGGACCGGUUCCUGGGCCUGACAGACACAGCCAGCAAAGACUGCCUCUUUGCCAUCGUGGGGAACAAAGUGGACCUCACUGAGGAGGGGGCCUUGGCAGGCCAGGAGAAGGAAGAGUGCAGUUCCAAUAUGGACGCCGGGGACUGUGUCUCCCCCAGGGCGCCUAAGCAGGUGCAGCUGGAGGACGCGGUGGCCCUUUAUAAAAAGAUCCUCAAGUACAAGAUGCUGGAUGAGCAGGACGUGCCGGCCGCUGAGCAGAUGUGCUUUGAGACCAGCGCCAAGACCGGCUACAAUGUGGACCUCCUGUUUGAGACCCUGUUUGACCUGGUGGUGCCAAUGAUCUUACAGCAGAGAGCUGAGAGGCCGUCACACACAGUGGAUAUAUCCAGUCAUAAGUCACCCAAGAGGACCAGAUCUGGGUGUUGUGCUUGACUUUUGAGGGCCUCCUGGACUCAGAUUGUGCAUGUGGGAAGGGGUCUGACCAGGCAAGCUGUGAUCUGACAGGAGCAAGGAACACCAAGGAAUUAUUUUCCAGAAUGACACACGCAGCAGAACGCUGGAGUGGAAAUGAUGGCCGGCUAUGAAGAGGAGGUCAACAAACCACGUCAGUUCUUGGAAAGCUUGAAAUCUCUCAGUUUGGCAACUCAGCUGUUGGAGACGGCGCAGAUUUCCCCACUGGGUGUGGGUUUGAGCUCGUGACCUCGAGCAUCCGUCUUUCCUUGUACAAAGCGGCCACUCCAGGGAGGAGAAGAGCAAGUGACGGUCCAGGGUUAAUGGCUGCGUGUGGUCUUGGAGCUCCCUUCUGCACUUUCCAGCUGUCCGUGUCCCCAUGCAGAUGAGAACCCUCUCCUCAAUGACACCUCAUAACCAGAUUUUCCCACCGGGAGAAGGCAUAGGGGCCUGGAACGGUGUCUCUUGGGAGCUGGUCUCAGUUAAGUGAGCAGGGUUGGCUCGUGCCUGCUUUUGGUCUGAAGGUGGCAGGCCUGGGAGUGGCCACUGUCAUCCCCAGUAGCACUUCCAAACCCCCUCCCUCAGCCUCACUGCGUGGCAGCCUCGUUCACCAGCCCCUGUGUGGCGGGCGGCUCCCAUGGCCAGGGGCGAGCUCUCCCUGCUUCGAGGGAGGUGUGAGAGCCCCCUGGACAGAGUCCUCAUAAUCUGAAUGCAAGAAUUCCUUUCCCAGGAAUCCUGCAGAUAAAAUGGAUUAUUUUUGUGAGUGUACAGUUAAGAAUAAUAAGCCAGCUCAAGGCAAAAGAAUGGGUCCCCCCCGGAGGAGAAGCGGGGUCCUGUCCCAUGUGGGAUGAAAUGGCCUCUGCAGGAACGGCUCCACUUUAGGGCUGGUUUAUGCCAUCAUGGCACCCACAUCUUCUAAGCGGCCUCCACCCCAUCUGCCCUUUGUUCUUGUACUUUGGCCAUGAAUGGGAGGAGAAGGUCCCUGAGUCACCCCUGCAUGUGGCAAGGUCCUCUCAAGUGUGAAUCUGCAGGUGGGGUGGGGGAAGAGGGCUCCUGGACGUAUUUUAAACCCAGAAAGACAGCAUUCCCCUCCUGCCCCAUCCCAUGUGGUUUGCAGCUGCAGCCUCUCAUCUCUAAGUGUUCCCGGCCUCUGAGAAGAACCUAGUUAAUUAAAAUGGGCUCGUGCAAUGAAAUUGUGAAAUACCUCUCGGGUGCAGGGACUCUCGCAGUAUGUGGAAAUGACCCCACCGUUUGAGCUUCUGGACAUCGCAGGUCCUGGACACGUAUGAGUGCUUACAUGCCUGCAGCUUUAGGCACAUUCACGUGUAGUGACUGAUUUCAUUCUCCUGAUGUCACUCUGAUGCACAGGUCUAGGGUGAAACAUUUCUCUUAUGUUUAACACUGGACACUGACGCUGAAGUGUGAUCCACACACAAGGUCCCACUCAGGCUUCCUGAUAUCGCCUUCCCACAUAGGCCAGCUGUGUAGAGGUCCUGGCCUCAGCCAGCUUCUGGAGGAACACGAGCCAGGGCAGCUGCUUAUCUAUGUCAAAUAACAUUAUAAGUUUAAAGUUCUACUUUCUGUUGCAUCAACAUGUUUAGCCUUUAUGGAAGUGCAUGGCAGGCCUCCUGGAUCCCAGAGUUGGUGUAUAAGGGCCAUUUGGCUUGGCCGAGCAGGCUUUGAGUGACUACACUGGCAUUUCGGAACAGCUCUGUUCUUCUACGAGUUCUCAGACAUACUGGGCCAAGUUGGAUCAUCAGGGAGUGGCGUCUUCAUGGAAUAGCAUUUUGGACAAAGCCAGAGACAUUCAAUAUCACGGCCAAGGUCAAAUGGUGAAAAUACGUUGCAUGUGAGACGCAGAACAAGAACCCAACAGGUGCUCAUCGCCAUCAUGGCAGGAAACAGCAAGACAACUUGACAAGGAUCUCCCGCCACUUGCCCACUGGAACUGGAAUGGAGUGUUAAUGACACAGGAGUGCAUGAAUUUACAUGUAAUAUACACACAUACAAAUUCGCCUGUAGACAGCAAUAUUUGGUUAUAGGAAAUGUCUAUAAACAGCACAUUCUAAAAGCAGCUUUAGGAUUAUGGGUGCUUUUUUUCCUCUUAAAUGUGUUAAUUUUUUAAAUGUGUUUAAACGUGUUAAUA